AAGUUACUCCGUCACGUUUUACUACGAAUCAGCUGAUAGCUGGUAAACUGUGCAGAUAUUGUACUAUAGAGUUACUACAUAAGCGCACAUUGGCUAGGCUUUGCAGUAUCCGUAACUUUGAGCAAGUGGAAACUGUGCCAGAAGUUCCGUCAGCACAAAUUCACUAUAUUUCAGGAUUAAAACUUUAGAUAAAAAAAAAAUCAAGGUAAAGAUGAAGGGGACUUAGCUAGUGCUCAACGUACGAAGAGCUGCAUUCUUAAAUUGUAACCUUUGAGACUAAAUAAUGAAGUCUGACGAGAAAAAAAGACAUGCCUCCGGAGAAUCUACCUCUUCCAGCGAAGUCGACCCUGGGGACUAUAUCCCCACCCCACCGGACGGAGGGUGGGGCUGGGUGGUGGUGUUUAGUUCCUUCAUGUGUAAUCUGAUCGUGGACGGUCUUGGAUAUUCUUUUGGAGUCUUGCUACCCUUGUGGGUGAAUGUUUUCCAAGAGAGUAGAGGAAAAGUUUCCCUAGUGGGUUCCCUGUUGAAUGGAAUGUAUCUUUGCGCAGGUCCUAUAGUCAGUGGUUUGACAAACAAGUUUGGUUGUAGAGCAGUUACGAUAACGGGUAGUAUAUUUGCUACUGCGGCCUUUUUCUGUGCAUCUUUCUCGGAAAACAUAACAGUACUUCAACUUACAUACGGAUUCCUAGGAGGCCUAGGAUUUGGAUUGAUUUAUCUCCCCGCUGUGGUCAUCGUAGGAUACUACUUUGAGAAGAGACGUGCAAUAGCAACAGGCAUAGCAGUCUGUGGAUCUGGUGUUGGAACCUUUAUCUUCGCACCUGUUAACGCCAUCAUGAUGGAUGUAUUUGAUUGGAGGAAUCUGGUUAUGAUUCAGGCCGGUAUAGUGCUAAACGCUUGUGUGUUUGGUAUGUUAAUGAGACCAUUGGAACCAACAAAGAAGAUGAAGCAAUUUCAGAGAAAAGCGCAGAUGGAAAAUGCAAAGAAAAAGGCAAUCCGAAAUAGAAAACGAAAUGCACAUUCAGAUUCAAGUAUGCCAGGUGCUAAUGAUUUUACGAAACUUAAUGAAAUUCAAAAACGAAAAGAAGAAACUGAUAAGAGAACGAAUUCAGAGAACAACGAUUUUAUGAGGGGAAUCAAAGCUCAUGAAAUUCAUCCCAGGAUCGAAAGCGGGUACGCUAAGACAUCACAGCCCAAACCCUUUUUGUCUGCACCUCGACUACGUCACGAUUCUGUGCAUCACGAAAAGUCUGAUUAUUCCCGCCCAAUGUAUCGACAGGACAUUUUCUACAGUGGCAGUAUCUAUAACAUUCCUCAGUACAAAACGUCCGGCUCAGACGUCAGGGAAUACGUCACAAGCAUAACCAACAUCACCGAUGUUCCAUCGCCUUCAUGCUGGGAUCGCUGUUCUUGUCUUCCGAUAUCUGUGGUGGACACGAUGAAAGACAUGUUAGAUCUCUCUCUGCUCAAAGACUUUAAUUUUCUUAUGAUAUGCAUCGGAAACAUUCUCGCCAUGACUGGUUUUUACGUUCCAUUUUCAUACGUCGUUGAUCACGCAUUACAGUUCGGUAUUCCUAAAACGGAUGCUGCUUUUCUACUCUCUAUCAUAGGUAUAACCAACACAAUAGGAAGAUUAUUAUCUGGACUACUGGUCGACAUUUUUAAAUUGAACGCACUCGUUAUCAACAAUACAGCUCUAGUGGUCAGCGCCAUCUUACUCUUCGUGGAACCAUUCUGUACAACCUACGAGCUUCUCGUAACCUUCGCCGUCUUGUAUGGACUCUGUGUUGCUGCCUACAUUUCAUUGACAUCCAUCAUCAUUUGCGACUUGCUCGGCCUAAGAAAAUUGACCAAUGCAUUUGGACUUCUGACCCUAGCCAGAGGGAUAGCCGGCGUAUAUGGCCCUCCUGUCGCUGGUCUGUAGCAUUUUGUACUGGCUAAUAUAAAUAUAGUAUUUCGUACGGUCAUUUUAACAAACAUUGCAAAGAUAACAACUUCUAUGAAAUUAUACAGAACAUUUAUGCAUUUUUACUGAAAAUAUUUACUUAGUAUAUGUGAAAGAUAAUUAAAAUAUCAAUAUUUUUGCUUGUGUUCGACUAGGAGCGGUAUAUAACGCCACAGGGUCCUAUAACUACUCUUUCUGGUUGGGGGGUCUGAUGUUUGCGCUAGGGGCCGCGUGUCAUUUGGUCCUGCUACUGCCAUGUGUGAAGAAGAAGGGACAGGAGAUAGCAAGUAACGAGAUAGUUCUCGUUGAGGAAGAAGACAAGACGAUGCUUCCGUCAUCCAACGACGAAGAGGUGUGAUUGCGAGAAUCGUUCUGUUGUUUUGACAUGUAUGGUUUUAUAUUGUAUAUUUGGUUUGUAUGAAAUGGAUUUGUAAAUGAAUUUCUUCUAUAUGACUGCAAUGAUUUAUUUUAUGUAAAGAGUGUAUUUUUGAUCAGAAGUUAUUGUCUGAUAUUUGUUUGAGAAGUGAAGGUAGUUGAAACACUUUGAACUGGUUGGGUUUGAAAACAAGAUAUUGUAAAUAUGUAAAUGUAUUGAUCACGACAAGUGUAAAUUGUUAUAAUUAUGUGACAGUAUGUCCGAAUGGAAUAUUUUUAGAGUGAAGUGUUACUGGUUUGCAUGACUGUAGCAAGUUUGACCUAGAACUAUAUAAAUUUGUUGAUCCUAAUAAUUUUAAUUUAGGCAAACAGCUACUAAGGAUGUGAUAAAAUUGUAUUUGAUAUAUGUACAUACAUAAUGUAAUGUAUUUAAAUGUUUACCUGCAUUCUAUACCAAAUAAAUUGAGAUGUGAAUAACG
rnacentral:misc_RNA from 1 species